rnacentral:rRNA from 1 species
UACGUAGGGGGCAAGCGUUGUCCGGAAUCAUUGGGCGUAAAGCGCGUGUAGGCGGCUUGGUAAGUCUGCUCUGAAAGCCCGGGGGCUCAACCCCGGGAGGCGGGUGGAUACUGUCAAGCUCGAGUCCGGAAGAGGAGUGUGGAAUUCCUGGUGUAGCGGUGAAAUGCGUAGAUAUUGGGAGGAACACCAGUGGCGAAGGCGGCUCACUGGACCGGAACUGACGCUGAGGCGCGAAAGCGUGGGGAGCAAACGGG